rnacentral:rRNA from 1 species
UGGAGAUCGUUGCCAGUGGCGGGGGUAGUACGGGGGGUCCGAGGGUUAAGCGGAAUUACGGGGCGUAAAGCGGGCGCAGGCGGUGUGUGAAUCGAGAAGUGAAAGCCCUGGGCUCAACCGAGGAAUAGCAUUUCGAACUGGCGAACUAGAGUCUUGUAGAGGGGUGUAGAAUUCCAGGUGUAGCGGUGAAAUGCGUAGAGAUCUGGAGGAAUACCGGUGGCGAAGGCGGCCCCCUGGACAAAGACUGACGCUCAUGCACGAAAGCGUGGGGAGCAAACAGGAUUAGAUACCCGAGUAGUC